AACGAACGCUGGCGGCAUGCCUAACACAUGCAAGUCGAACGAUUGCCUUCGGGUGAUAGUGGCGCACGGGUGCGUAACGCGUGGGAAUCUGCCCUUAGGUUCGGAAUAACAGCUGGAAACGGCUGCUAAUACCGGAUGAUAUCGCGAGAUCAAAGAUUUAUCGCCUGAGGAUGAGCCCGCGUUGGAUUAGGUAGUUGGUGGGGUAAAGGCCUACCAAGCCGACGAUCCAUAGCUGGUCUAAGAGGAUGAUCAGCCACACUGGGACUGAGACACGGCCCAGACUCCUACGGGAGGCAGCAGUGGGGAAUAUUGGACAAUGGGCGCAAGCCUGAUCCAGCAAUGCCGUGUGAGUGAUGAAGGCCCUAGGGUUGUAAAGCUCUUUUACCCGGGAAGAUAAUGACUGUACCGGGAGAAUAGGCCCCGGCUAACUCCGUG
rnacentral:rRNA from 1 species